GAUGAAGAACGUAGUGAAAUGCGAUAAGUAAUGCGAAUUGCAGAAUUCCGUGAGUCAUCGAAUCUUUGAACGCACAUUGCGCCCCCUGGUAUUCCGGGGGGCAUGCCUGUCCGAGCGUCAUUACAACCCUCAAGCCCGGCUUGUGUAAUGGGCGGCCGUCUCUCCCCCCGGGGGGAGACGCCCCCGAAACUCAGUGGGGAUGUCGCGAUACCGAAGCCUCAGCUAAUGGGUAAACCACAGCUGCAAUGGCCGCGGCCGGCGUCCGCCUUCCACGGUCCGUCCGCCUAGCGCGGGCGGCCUUCUCAAGGUUGACCUCGGAUCAGGUAGGGAUACCCGCUGAACUUAAGCAUAUCAAUAAGCGGAGGA
rnacentral:misc_RNA from 1 species